AGUCUUUUCACACAGAGGAGAGAGAGAGAGGUAGAGAGAGAGAGGGGGAGGGAGAUGGGGGCAGAAGAAGGCGAAGAAGAGAAGAGGGAGACGAAGCCGAACCCGAUUUCGGCGGCCCAAUUCUGUCCUGGAAGCGCCGGAAGGAUGCUGAAGCGUCGGCAAGGAAAGCUGAAUCUGCGAGAAAGCGUUCUGAGGAUAUAGCUACAGGAACUGUGCAAAUGAACGGGCGGGAGCUUUUCUGCAUGAACCUUGGGUAUUCGAUAACACUCAGUACUGAAGAUUGGGUUGACUCCUGUGCACGAUAUGCAUACUUUUAUUGAAAGAAUGGAUUGCUGCAAGAUAUAUAAGUUCUUCAUGGAUGUAUCUUGUUUCCUUAAGAGUUGACAUUCCCUUUUUUCUUUUCUUUUCGUAUAACAAAAGUUGACAUUCUUACUCCUUGCAGAUAGUGACUCUUGUCUUGUAUACGAUCUGCAAUUUUUUAAGUCUCUGACUGCAUGUGAUGGUAGUGUGUAAAUUUCA